UUAGUUUACAGCAUAUAUAUAGUGUAGUAUUGUCCCACAUUGGUAGAAGAGUAGUAUGUCCUUGUAUAGUAUAGCUAUAAAUAAGGACCUCUUGUAUUAUAUUGUUCAUCCAAUAUCAAUAAUAUAUUUUCUUACGUGCCUUCUCACACCCUCAUAUAUCUCCUCGUCCGUUACUAAAGCACAUAAAACAAGUUGCUGCUGAUGUGAUAGGGAUGGGCCAUUCCUCAUGAUCAUCUUGUUUACAGCAGGCAGACUAGCAGCAGAUGAUCCCAUCAAGGCUUUGUAGAAGUGAAUAAUUUCUAAUUUGAUCUCUUCAGGAUCCUGUAGUUUUAUUCAUGUUAAGGAAUUGAGUUCCAGAAUUUGCUUUCUUUGUUUCUUCUCCUUCAUCACUGCUGAAAAAUAUUUACUAUUUGAAUCCCCCAACUUUAUCCAGCUCACUCUAGACUUUUGUUGGAGGAUACUCUCUUCAAUUAAUGACCACCUUUCUAAUUGCUGCAGGCAGAUUUUUUCUUGAUCAACCAAUGCAUCGGUAUAUUGUUCUGUGAGUUGUGCUUGUAUAUCUUUCAGAUCUUUUCUACUCUGAUCAAUCUUCUCUGUUAUUCCUUUGUACUCUUCUGCGUUCAAUUGUUGAAACUUUGGUUUGAGCGCUUUCAGUUUCAACCAGAUAUUCUUCAUCCUGCUGCUAGUUUUAUUAUUGGCCCACUCUUCUUCAACAAUUUGUAAGAAAGAUGAAUGAUCUGCCUAGACAUUGAAGAAUCUAAAAGGUAUUUUAAUAUUAUUCAUAGUGGUCGUGAUGGGAAUAAGCAUAGGAGCAUGAUCAUACACAAAUGGUUCCCCAUAUUGCAAAAUCAAAUGGCCAAACUGCAUUAUCCUUUCAUCAUUUCCCAGUGCCCUAUCAAGCCUACUACAUACCCUAGCACUUUCAAGUUACUUAUUAGACCAGGUGUAAUAUUCUCCAUUCCAUAGCAAUUCAUUUACCAGCAAAUUGUGAUAGCAAUCAGAAAAAUCUUUGAUUUCUGCCCAUAGUACAUAGGAUUCGGACAUUCUGUCUUGAAGGUAUAACAUUGUAUUGAAGUCUCCACAUAUCAGCCACGGUUUAGUAAUUUGAGGAGCUAUACUCUGUAGUUGUUCCCAUAAUGUUUUUCUUUGCUCGAUAGUAUUGUAUCCAUAAACAGUCCAUACCAUCAUGUCUUCCCAUCACCUGGCAAUGAAUAUAUUGAGCAUCACUAAACACUGCUUGUAUAUCAUAGGCUCUAUCACCCCAAACAACCCAAAUUCUACCAUUCACUGCAUCUUUGUAGUUGUUGAUCAUCUUCCAUCCAGGAGCUAUCUUAUCUGCUACAUAUUUUGCUUUUUUAUUUUCUUUUACUUUUGUUUCUACUAGGCCAGCUAUCUUGAUGUGGUUGUCUUGUAAAUAUUUUCUCAAUUUCUUCUGCUUAUACCUCUUAUUUAUUCCUCUCAUAUUCCAUAUCAACCAAGUCAUUAGGUAUUGUGAGGUCCUCCACCUUCAUCAGGAGGCAUUAGAUAAUGAUCUCCUAUAUGAAGAGUUUGAAACCCAUUUUUAAUUGGAACAGAAUAGCUCCCAAUUGGUUCUUCAUCAUUCUUUGCCACUGCUUUACCCCUUGUAUUUUGUUGUUUGUGAUGUGGACUUUGAAUUUGCGCAGGUGUAUUACUAGCUUGCUGAAUCAUACUUGUUGAUCCCACAGUCCCUGCUCCAUUUUUCUCAUUUUGCUGUUGAAUAUUACCCCUGAUUUCCUGUUGAACAUUCUGCUUAUUUGUGUUGCCAUUUUGCUGCUUUAGUCCCUUUACUUGCCAGGUGGGAAUUGUUCUUUUUGGCAUUCUUCUUCUUCUAGGCUAUUGGAAUCUCUCUUCUUGUGCUGCCCUCUCUUCAUACUUAGCUUUAUCACAGUCAUGCCCAAUUUGUUGAAUUCUCCACAGAAUUCAGGUUUCCAUUCAUACACUACGCCCUGUUGGAACUUCCUACCCGUAGGAUCUAUCACUGUCACUUCAGUAGGAAGUCUCUUGGUAACAUUUACUUCAAUCAAUAUCCUAGCAUAUGAAAUCCUUGUCUGUUUAGUUGUGCAUUCAUCAGCGAAUAGAGGUUUGCCAAGGGUGCUUGCCAUUCUUCUCAAAGAGUUACACCCCCAACAGUUCAUUGGAAGUUUGGGGAAUUUCACCCAUAAUGGAAUUUCAGUAAGAAACUCAUUAUUGAAGUCAUAAUCUGGACUCCAUUGUUUGAGUACAAUUGGCCUGCUAUUGAUGCUAUAAGGACCACCAUACAAAAUUGUCUGUAGAUCACUUAUGCUUUGGAAUUUCACCACAUAGUAUCCUUCCUCAUGGAGAUAAAUGUCUGGUUCUGCUAUAUUAUUCCAGGUUUGAGCUACAAAUCUCUUCAUAUAAUUGUAUCCAGGAAUUUCUCCAAUUAUGUAAACUAUCAAUGCACAUUUUCACUUUUUUGUCUCCACUUCGACGUCAUCUUUGUCUAAUUUGACUACAAAUUGCCCAUCAAUUAUCUCAGGGGUAAUAUAUGAUAGCGACAUACCAUUUCUGCAGCUCGAUUCCCUAAGAAAAGAUUUGUCCACGGCGCAUCUGGGAGCUCCACUCCCUGCGGAUCUAGUACUUGGGUUUGCAGUUUGUUUUGUUCUUUAGUUACCACUAGGUUGUCCUUCUGUUCUUUGGCUAGUUUCAAUGAGCUUGCUUUAUCAUGAGGUUUUACUGCACUCAAAUUGAGUUUCUUCGUUGGUCCGAUUGAAGAACUAUUGGACCCUAAUUUUAGCGAACUUGCUUCAAAUUGGAUACCAAUCGGGGUUACUACUCGCUAAUCGUUCCCUUGCUCAAGUGUUUCUGCAAUUACUCGAGUACUGACUGAGCUCCCUAUCAUAACAAGCGGUUGUUUUUUGAGUCUUCCUCGUCUAGCCAUGGCUACCCUCCGACGGUGCACGUUAGCGUAACAUGCGCCGAGAGCUAAAAGCUAGAGAGAGAACUAUUUACUACGUUUAGAAAUAUUUUUUAUGUUCUGGGCUCUUUGAUGAGCUUUUAUUACAAGUAUUUUGGACCUUCUUAUCUCUUUUGUUCACGAGAAGUUUUGUUAGCAGUUAGUUCUUAGUAAUAAAAAAUAGAUUUUGCAGGUUUUCCUAAUCAACUUGACUGCAUGGAGGCAAACCGAAGGAAGAGCAAAAGGAAGAACGGGUUAUUCAUAUUUCAUUUGAUGGUCAGAGUCGAAUUGAAAGUUAAGCAGUGGGAAUUCUAAAGAUUCCCCGAGAGGAAAAAUAGAAAUGUCACCUACGUUACCCCAUAAUAUGUGGAAGUAUCGACGUAAUUUUUUCAAAAGUAUCAGUAGACAGACGCAGAAAGAGAUCAUAUUCCCUAAGGCCUUUGUUAUCGCUUUAAACUUUCCUAUUUCACAUAGGAAGCCCGCUCAUGUUGGUUUAGAUCUCUCUCUUUUGGAUAUAACGAUGUAUGUGCGCUCUCAUCUUGUUUCUUUUAUGGCUUUGUUCUACUAACUGUGAAUUCACUGUUCCUAACAGUUGAAAUAAGUAACUCUAUUUUAUUAGAUCAGGACAUUAUAAUGCAGUUGUCCUCUUGCCCA
rnacentral:lncRNA from 1 species